ACGAGUACAAAUGGCGGCAUCUGGUCAAGUUAUUUCGUAUUAAAUGUUUUGUUGAAAAAUGCAACUGCAGAUGAGUGUAACCGUAUUUCGGUUUUUGUAUCACUGAAUCUAAAUGAUGAGGUAUGCACGAGGCAGCUCACAAUGGUGCCGGUAACUGUGCUUCAAUACCUGCGUCAAAUUUGUGAUUUGUAUUCCUUCUACUAAUCUAGUAUUGAGAAUACACCAUCUAACGAAAAAAGCAUGAUGUAAGUAUGGCAGAAGGUGGAAUAGAACCAAAGCACAGUGACAAUCAAGUAUCUAAAUUUCAAUUAGAGUUAAACGAGUGUCUUGGUAAUUGGCUAGUGUACUUACAGACGCUUAAUGGCCUGUGCACAGCGGGUACAAAAUUGGCUCAAUCAUUACAAACACUUUUGUCAGCUCAUGAUACGUUAACACAAUGCAGAUUAACAGGACAGUGUCUUGCCGGUUGGGAGGAGCUUACGAGAGCAACAUGCAUAGCCAGCAAUACUGUGAAAAAUCACAUUAUUUCUGCGUUAAGGGAUCAUGAAACUCGAGAAAAUGAAGGGGAUAAGCAUGACAUACUUAGAGAUAAUUUAUUGUCAUUCAUAAAUCUACAGUAUCAAUUCUGCGUUGCUUGUUGCGAAUGCCUAGGGGGAAUGGCAGAAUGCUCCUGUUCUCAGAGUGGUACAACUGAAUGUGAUAUCGCCUCUCUUCAACAAUGUUUUGAAAGACUGUACAGUUCACAACCACUAGUAUCUUCGUCGUCAAUGCAACAAUCUGUACAAAAUUUUCGUAGAUCACCCUUACCAUAUCCUUUAUUUCCUCUGCAGGUUCAGAGGAGAUGGUCCGAAACCGCAGCCGCGGAAAUGUCGGGUGAAGUAUUAGAAAAUACUAUGAGAAGAUGGUCUAUGCCAUGGGAUUGUAGAAACAUCACAGAUUGGCCGCGACAAGAUGUUAGAUCGCGAUUAAGAAUACCUCAUCAAAACAGAAGUAGAUCUACCACACCAGAUACAAUAUGGAAGGCAUCUACUAUGGCUAGUCAAGAUGGCUUGCAGGAGGCAAUUCAAUUGUUAUCUUGUAAACCAGGAAUUAGGCCACUAAAUCAAUUAAUUGCUUAUACAAAUCAGCAUAUCCCAGGUGUUACAUUAACAACGUGCAAUUUUGAGUCAAAUUACGAUUCUAUUAUGUGGCCAGCAUCUCGCAAAAUAGGUUUUCCAAGGUAUUGGCCACGUGGUUCCCAUUCAAGUGACCAUUCUGAUCAAUCAGGACAUCGCGAAUGUGAUCAGAGUGCACAUAGUGGAGAACACAGAGAUUCGGAACAAAGUGGAACUAGUGGUAGUCACGGAGAUAGCAAAGAUAGCAUUCAUUCGCACAGUGAUCAUAGAGAAAUCGAAUUUGGUACCGUAGAUACACUACCAUUACGUAAGAGCAGUUCUUCGACAGAUUCUUGCAUAUCAGCCUAUAGUCGGUCAGGUUCCGAGAGCGCUGGUGGUGGGGAAUGCGCGAGAUCUCAAUUAUAUUCUAUGUGGAGUGGCAGUGAUUUGCCUUUCAUUAAAUUGCCAGAAAGCAAUGAAACGCAAGACGAACAUCCGCCUGUAUAAAUACGUGGAGUUACAUUGAGCCAUAAAUGCAACGGUGCAAUUCACUGUCAUUACGUUUGGUUUCAAUGGAUGUAUCUGUUCGUCAGCGGUAUCUGAAAGGACCACAAAUUUUUUCGUCUUAACGGAUUUCAUGUAAAUGUAUCUUUACAACGACAACAAAGAAGGGAAGUAUAAAUACAUACGCAUAUGGUAUUUCAUUUCUUUGUCGUGUUUUGGUGUAAAUAAAGACAUGUCGAAAUCCACCGGAAAUGUGAAUGUGAGCCAACGUUCGUGCGGAUCCGGUUCUGCAGUUAACGCUUGGAACAAGCCUGGCAUCGGUUCGCUAAAGUCCUCCACGUGAGACUUCUUGCUUAAUGGAUUGUCCGUUAUAUUUGGUUUUGGACAUAGGUCUACAGACAACGAGAUAUACGAUUAAGAAACGCAGAGAUAUACUUGUGAUUAGUAACGUUCGUUUGCGAACAUAGAGAACCGUAGGAAAUAGAAGCGACGGCUUACCUACGCAUGAACAGCACUCGUCGUAAAGCUCUGCGUAAGCAUACACUUACUGACAACACUGGCGCAAAUCGCUUCGUUGCAUCCUUCGCAGUGUUUGAUGAUUGCCGACAGAAAUGAGAUUUCAAUGAUAGCGACGACUAGCGUUCUGCUCCAACUCAUCAUCGUGUUCUAAAAAGACAGUACAUCGGCGGACAUUAAUAUCACACUGGCUCAACUGGUUUCAACGGUAGACGAAACUUUUCCUUUACGCUUGGCGGAUCUUUGCGUCAAUCGAACGAAAUAAAACACGUCCCGAGGUCAAACUUCUAAUGUACAUAGCGAUAGGAACAGCGGUAUCAAGUUUACAUAUACUGUAAGAAGGUUAUCGAGAUCAAUUAAAAAAGCGAUAAAUUGGCGCCACUUCCUUCUAAUGAUGUAACAUCGCGAAGGAGCAAGAACGCACGCAUCUACUAUCAAGUCUACGGUGGACCGUGAAUCGCGUAUGUUGAUUACGACCAUGAGGCUCGAUUAAGGUUAUUAAGAAUAUUCAUGAACGUGAGUCAGGAUGUCAUUAAGAGGGGGUCGUGUGCCGAAACAACGAACUUUUAA